rnacentral:tRNA from 1 species
GGUUCCAUAGAGUAGCGGUUAGCACGUCUCCUUUACAUGCAGAAGGACCUGGGUACGCACCCUAGUGGGGCCA